CCUACGGGGGGCUGCAGUGAGGAAUAUUGGUCAAUGGACGAGAGUCUGAACCAGCCAAGUAGCGUGAAGGAUGACUGCCCUAUGGGUUGUAAACUUCUUUUAUAAAGGAAUAAAACGUGGCACGUGUGCCUUUUUGUAUGUACUUUAUGAAUAAGGAUCGGCUAACUCCGUGCCAGCAGCCGCGGUAAUACGGAGGAUCCGAGCGUUAUCCGGAUUUAUUGGGUUUAAAGGGAGCGUAGAUGGGUUGUUAAGUCAGUUGUGAAAGUUUGCGGCUCAACCGUAAAAUUGCAAUUGAUACUGGCAGUCUUGAGUACAGUUGAGGUAGGCGGAAUUCGUGGUGUAGCGGUGAAAUGCUUAGAUAUCACGCAGAACCCCGAUUGCGAAGGCAGCUUACUAAACUGUGACUGACAUUGAUGCUCGAAAGUGUGGGUAUCGAACAGGAUUAGAUACCCGGGUAGUC
rnacentral:rRNA from 1 species